GGCUUGUAGCUCAGUGGUAGAGCACGUGCCUAGCGUUUGUGAGGUACUGGGUUCAAUUCUCAGCACCA
rnacentral:tRNA from 1 species